AGAGUUUGAUCCUGGCUCAGAUUGAACGCUGGCGGCAUUCUUACACAUGCAAGUCGAACGGCAGCACGGAGCUUGCUCUGGUGGCGAGUGGCGAACGGGUGAGUAAUAUAUCGGAACGUACCCUGGAGUGGGGGAUAACGCAGCGAAAGUUGCGCUAAUACCGCAUACGAUCUACGGAUGAAAGUGGGGGAUCGCAAGACCUCAUGCUCGUGGAGCGGCCGAUAUCUGAUUAGCUAGUUGGUGAGGUAAAGGCUCACCAAGGCGACGAUCAGUAGCUGGUCUGAGAGGACGACCAGCCACACUGGGACUGAGACACGGCCCAGACUCCUACGGGAGGCAGCAGUGGGGAAUUUUGGACAAUGGGGGCAACCCUGAUCCAGCAAUGCCGCGUGAGUGAAGAAGGCCUUCGGGUUGUAAAGCUCUUUUGUCAGGGAAGAAACGGUGAGUUCUAAUACAGCUUGCUAAUGACGGUACCUGAAGAAUAAGCACCGGCUAACUACGUGCCAGCAGCCGCGGUAAUACGUAGGGUGCAAGCGUUAAUCGGAAUUACUGGGCGUAAAGCGUGCGCAGGCG
rnacentral:rRNA from 1 species